rnacentral:rRNA from 1 species
AGAGUUUGAUCAUGGCUCAGGACGAACGCUGGCGGCGUGCCUAAUACAUGCAAGUCGAGCGAACCUGCGAGAGCUUGCUCUCAAAGGUUAGCGGCGGACGGGUGAGUAACACGUGGGUAACCUGCCUGACAGACUGGGAUAACGCUUGGAAACGAGUGCUAAUACCGGAUGAUCUCUUUGGCUGCAUGGCCAGAGAGUAAAAGAAGCUAUUGCUUCACUGUCAGAUGGACCCGCGGCGCAUUAGCUAGUUGGUGAGGUAACGGCUCACCAAGGCGACGAUGCGUAGCCGACCUGAGAGGGUGACCGGCCACACUGGGACUGAGACACGGCCCAGACUCCUACGGGAGGCAGCAGUAGGGAAUCUUCCGCAAUGGGCGCAAGCCUGACGGAGCAACGCCGCGUGAGUGAUGAAGGCCUUCGGGUUGUAAAACUCUGUCUUCUGCGAAGAACAAGCCUGUGAGUGGAAAGCUCAGGCCUUGACGGUAACAGAGGAGGAAGCCCCGGCUAACUACGUGCCAGCAGCCGCGGUAAUACGUAGGGGGCAAGCGUUGUCCGGAAUCACUGGGCGUAAAGCGCGCGCAGGCGGCGAUCUGCGUCCGGGGUGAAAGCCCAGAGCUCAACUCUGGGACUGCCUUGGAUACGGGGUCGCUUGAGGAUCGGAGAGGCAAGGGGAAUUCCACGUGUAGCGGUGAAAUGCGUAGAGAUGUGGAGGAACACCUGUGGCGAAGGCGCCUUGCUGGCCGAUUUCUGACGCUGAGGCGCGAAAGCGUGGGGAGCAAACAGGAUUAGAUACCCCAGUAGUCC